CUCUGUAGCAACCAUGUUACGCCAGAUCAUCAGUCAGGCCAAGAAGCGUCUGAGCUUGAUCCCCCUCUUCGUAUUUAUUGGGGCAGGAGGUACUGGAGCAGCGCUGUGUGUCUUGCGCCUGGCAUUGUUCAAUCCAGAUGUCAGCUGGGAUAGGAAGAAUAACCCAGAACCCUGGAACAAACUGUGUCCCAGUGAUCAAUACAAGUUCUACUCAGUGAAUGUAGGUUACAGCAAACUGAAGAAAGAAGGUCCAGACUUCUAAAUGAAAUGUUUCACUAUAAAGCUGCUUAGAAUGAAGGUCUUCCAGAAGCCAUCCACACAAUUUUCCACUUAUCCAGGAAAUAUUUCCCCUCUAAAUGCACGAAAUUGUGUU